rnacentral:rRNA from 1 species
UACGGGGGGUGCGAGCGUUAUUCGGAAUUACUGGGCGUAAAGCGCGUGUAGGCGGGGGAGCAAGUCUGAUGUGAAAGCCCCGGGCUUAACCCGGGAAGUGCAUUGGAAACUGUUUUUCUUGAGUACUGGAGAGGAAGGGGGAAUUCCCGGUGUAGAGGUGAAAUUCGUAGAGAUCGGGAGGAAUACCAGUGGCGAAGGCGCCCUUCUGGACGGUUACUGACGCUGAGACGCGAAAGCGUGGGGAGCAAACAGG